CCGUACAAGAUGUCUACAAGUUGGCUGUGUCAGAGAUCCUAGUAUGGCUCAAUAUCACCAGCUAGGCUAGAGCUGCAAUCAAGGGUGUCUCAAACAGCGCCAGUACCCCUAUGUCGAUCUACUCACCUUGCACCAGCCUCUCUAGACAGGCACUAUCAACUAGAACAAUCUUGUUUAUUACUUAAUUUGUGUUCAACGUUUGAAGGUUUGGUAACUGUGUAUGUGUUAUCUGAGCCAGGCCUAUCUAGAUGAAUUGAUCGAGUUCCAUGAGUCUUUGUGUUGAUGUUGUAAAACUAUCGUAUUGGG
rnacentral:lncRNA from 7 species